UACGCCAUCUUUUCUUUCUCUGCCUGCACUCAGUCCUGUGUGGAUGCUGCGUUCGAGCUGGAUUUACUUAGAAAACAAACCAUAAAAGAGGUAUUUUGACACUAAAGUUAACUGCAGACGUUACGGAAGUAGACAAGAAUCAUCAGAUAUCUUUGAACCACGUAGAAAUCGAUAUUCCGGCAGUUUUUUUUGAGGAUUCUCUUCAGUGGGACUCUGAUCUCCAUCCAUCUGCUGUGUGUUGAUGUCCAUCCACGUCUCCAUCACGCUGGGAUCGGCCAUCACCUCGGACCACCUUGUCGGACAUUCAUUAUAAGGGGGAGGUGGAUCUAGUAUUUCCUGAUGGCUGUUCAACACACCACCAGGUUGACUCCUCCCAUGGCCCCGCCCCUAGCUGAGGCUAUUGGAAGCACCUGUGGCAUCAUGGCCACCUUUUGCCUCUGCUUCCUGGUUGCCACAUGGACUCCUUCUGUUACUCU